rnacentral:rRNA from 1 species
UACGUAGGGGCUAGCGUUGUCCGGAAUCAUUGGGCGUAAAGGGCGCGUAGGCGGCGUGGUAAGUCAGUUGUGAAAUCUCCGAGCUUAACUCGGAACGGCCAACUGAUACUGCUGUGCUAGAGUGCAGAAGGGGCAAUCAGAAUUCUUGGUGUAGCGGUGAAAUGCGUAGAUAUCAAGAGGAAUACCUGAGGUGAAGACGGGUUGCUAGGCUGACACUGACGCUGAGGCGCGAAAGCCAGGGGAGCAAACGGG